rnacentral:tRNA from 1 species
GGGGUUGUAGCUCAGUGGUAGAGUGCAUGCCUUGAAUGAAUGAGGCCCUGGGUUCGGUCUCCAGCACCA